ACCACUUGGGGAUCUUAUUAAAGUGCAGAUUCUGAUUCAGUAGGUCUAGAAUGGGGCUUGAGAUUCUGCAUUUCUAACAAGUGCUCAGGUGAU
rnacentral:miRNA from 1 species